AUUGAACGCUGGCGGCAUGCCUUACACAUGCAAGUCGAACGGUAACGCGGGGCAACCUGGCGACGAGUGGCGAACGGGUGAGUAAUGCAUCGGAACGUGCCUGGUAGUGGGGGAUAACUGCUCGAAAGAGCAGCUAAUACCGCAUACGACCUGAGGGUGAAAGGGGGGGAUCGCAAGACCUCUCGCUAUCAGAGCGGCCGAUGCCGGAUUAGCUAGUUGAUGGGGUAAAGGCCCACCAAGGCAACGAUCCGUAGCUGGUCUGAGAGGACGACCAGCCACACUGGGACUGAGACACGGCCCAGACUCCUACGGGAGGCAGCAGUGGGGAAUUUUGGACAAUGGACGCAAGUCUGAUCCAGCCAUGCCGCGUGCGGGAAGAAGGCCUUCGGGUUGUAAACCGCUUUUGUCAGGGAAGAAAUCUUCUGGGCUAAUACCCUGGGAGGAUGACGGUACCUGAAGAAUAAGCACCGGCUAACUACGUGCCAGCCGCCGCAGUAAUAC
rnacentral:rRNA from 1 species